AUUGAACGCUGGCGGCAGGCCUAACACAUGCAAGUCGAGCGGUAACAGGGGAGCUUGCUCUCGCUGACGAGCGGCGGACGGGUGAGUAACGCGUGGGAAUCUGCCCAUCGGUGGGGGAUAGCCCGGAGAAAUCCGGAUUAAUACCGCAUAAUACCUGAGGGUUAAAACGGGGAGUCUUUAGACCUCGUGCCGAUGGAUGAGCCCGCGUCAGAUUAGCUAGUUGGUAGGGUAAUGGCCUACCAAGGCGACGAUCUGUAACUGGCCUGAGAGGGUGGCCAGUCACACUGGAACUGAGACACGGUCCAGACUCCUACGGGAGGCAGCAGUGGGGAAUAUUGGACAAUGGGCGGAAGCCUGAUCCAGCCAUGCCGCGUGUGUGAAGAAGGCUUUCGGGUUGUAAGCACUUUAAGUUGGGAGGAAGGCGUUGAUGGUUAAUACCAUCGAGAUUGACGUUACCGACAGAAUAAGCACCGGCUAAUUCGUGCCAGCAGCCGCGGUAAAG
rnacentral:rRNA from 1 species